rnacentral:rRNA from 1 species
AUUGAACGCUGGCGGCAGGCCUAACACAUGCAAGUCGAGCGGUUGAAGGGAGCUUGCUCCUGGAUUCAGCGGCGGACGGGUGAGUAAUGCCUAGGAAUCUGCCUGGUAGUGGGGGAUAACGUCCUGAAACGGGCGCUAAUACCGCAUACGUCCUGAGGUAGAAAGUGAGGGAUCUUCGGACCUCACGCUAUCAGAUGAGCCUAGGUCGGAUUAGCUAGUUGGUGGGGUAAAGUCGUACCAAGGCGACGAUCCGUAACUGGUCUGAGAGGAUGAUCAGUCACACUGGAACUGAGACACGGUGCAGACUCCUACGGGAGGCAGCAGUGGGGAAUCUUGGACAAAGGGGGAAAGCCUGAUCCAGCCAUGCCGCGUGUGUGAAGAAGGUCUUCGGAUUGUAAAGCACUUUAAGUUGGGAGGAAGGGCAGUAAGUUAAUACCUUGCUGUAUUGACGGUACCAACAGAAGAAGCACCGGCUAACUACGUG